UAUGCUUAGGGCUACACACGUGCUACAAUGGGUAGUACAGAGGGUUGCCAAGCCGUAAGGUGGAGCUAAUCCCUUAAAGCUACUCUUAGUUCGGAUUGUAGGCUGAAACUCGCCUACAUGAAGCUGGCGUUACUAGUAAUCGCAGAUCAGAAUGCUGCGGUGAAUGCGUUCCCGGGUCUUGUACACACCGCCCGUCACACCACGGGCGUUGGAGACGCCCGAAGCCGAUUAUCUAACCUAUUGGAAGAAGUCGUCGAAGGUGGAAUCAAUAACUGGGGUGAAGUCGUAACAAGGUAGCCGUAUCGG
rnacentral:rRNA from 1 species